CAGACAUUAUGGACUGGUGGGCAACAGGGUUGGAGGGCGUUUUUAAGUAGUAUAGAGCGGUUUUCAAGGAUACACGUUAAAAAGAACAGCGAUUGGGUAUCAUACCACAAAGACAUAUGAAACACUGCGAGGGACUUAUGUGCCGUCAUAAAAUGGUGCCAGGCUGCGACAUGAAGGCAGGGGCCGUGAAACCGUAUCCUCACUAUCAGACUGUACAGUACAGAGACAGAGUCACACUCCCGGUGUAAGCAGGGCAUAAAACACUGCUGCAUGAUAAGGAGCUGCACAGGGACUUUGAACAUUUUAUUAGUAUCAAUAAAAGAGGCACAGGACGAA